rnacentral:rRNA from 1 species
CCUACGGGAGGCAGCAGUGGGGAAUAUUGGGCAAUGGGCGCAAGCCUGACCCAGCGACGCCGCGUGAAUGAAGAAGUCCUUCGGGUUGUAAACCUCUUUUGGCAGGGACGAAGGAAGUGACGGUACCUGACGAAUAAGCCACGGCUAACUACGUGCCAGCAGCCGCGGUAAUACGUAGGUGGCAAGCGUUAUCCGGAUUUACUGGGUGUAAAGGGCGUGUAGGCGGGAGUGCAAGUCAGACGUGAAAGUCCAGGGCUCAACCCUGGAACUGCGUUUGAAACUGUUCUUCUUGAGUGAUGGAGAGGUAGGCGGAAUUCCGUGUGUAGCGGUGAAAUGCAUAGAUAUGAGGCAGAACACCGGUGGCGAAGGCAGCAUACCGGCGAUUAACUGACGCUGAGGCACGAAAGCGUGGGGAGCGAACAGGAUUAGAUACCCUGGUAGUC